UGGCGGACGGGUGAGUAAUGUCUGGGAAACUGCCUGAUGGAGGGGGGAUAACUACUGGAAACGGUAGCUAAUACCGCAUAACGUCGCAAGACCAAAGAGGGGGACCUUCGGGCCUCUUGCCAUCGGAUGUGCCCAGAUGGGAUUAGCUAGUAGGUGGGGUAAAGGCUCACCUAGGCGACGAUCCCUAGCUGGUCUGAGAGGAUGACCAGCCACACUGGAACUGAGACACGGUCCAGACUCCUACGGGAGGCAGCAUG
rnacentral:rRNA from 1 species